GCACUGGCUCAAGGGCGAUGCUGACACACAGUUGGUCAGAGCGUGGUGCUGACAACCCCAAGGUUGCAGGUUCGAUCCCCGUAUGGGGCAGCU